CGGUUUCAGAAGUUAGAGACAGACGAAGAGAGGAUAAAAGAAGGCAGGCAAAUCUAUGAUACUUUUAUCAUGAAGGAAUUAUUAUCUCAAUCACAUACAUACCCAAAGUCAGCAGUAGAACAUGUACAAGAAGCACUCACACUAGCACAAAAGACACGCAAGCUGGAUGCGGAAAUAUUUGCGCCCUAUAUAAAUGAAAUCUGCAACUCAUUGAGGGGCCAUAUAUUUGAAAAAUUUAUAGAAAGCGAAAAGUACACCAGAUUUUGUCAAUGGAAGAAUUUAGAAUUAAAUAUUAAUUUAACAAUGAAUGACUUUAGUGUACAUAGGAUCAUCGGCAGGGGUGGUUUUGGGGAGGUGUACGGCUGCAGGAAAGCAGACACAGGCAAAAUGUAUGCAAUGAAGUGUUUAGACAAAAAGCGUAUCAAGAUGAAGGGAGGUGAAACACUUGCACUCAAUGAGAGGAUUAUGCUGUCUCUAGUCAGUACAGGGGAAGGAAGUCCGUUCAUUGUGUGCAUGACAUAUGCAUUUCAGACCCCUGAAAAGCUUUGUUUUAUUCUUGAUCUUAUGAAUGGUGGUGACCUCCAUUACCACCUGUCCCAGCAUGGUGUGUUCACAGAAAAAGAAGUCCGGUUUUAUGCUGCUGAGGUCAUCUUGGGGCUGGAACAUAUGCACAGUCGCUAUGUUGUAUACAGAGAUUUAAAGCCUGCGAACAUUUUACUGGAUGAAAAUGGACAUGUCCGUAUAUCUGACCUUGGUUUGGCUUGUGAUUUCUCAAAGAAAAAACCCCAUGCAAGUGUUGGUACACAUGGUUACAUGGCUCCUGAAGUUCUACAGAAAGGCACAGCUUAUGACUCAAGUGCUGACUGGUUUUCAUUUGGUUGUAUGCUUUACAAGUUGCUCAAAGGGCACAGCCCAUUCAGACAACACAAGACCAAAGAUAAGCAUGAGAUAGAUCGCAUGACUAUGACAAUGUCAUCAGGGUCAAUUAAAAAUGAAUUAAACUUCAAUGUAAAGAAUGUUGAUUUACCUGAAACAAUGUCCAUAGAAAUGAAAACUCUUCUUGAAGGGCUGCUUCGGCGAGAUGUAGACGACAGAGUCGGCUGUCGUGGAAGGGGAGCUCAGGAAUUGAAGGAACAUCCAUUUUUUAAAGGUAUUGAUUGGGUCCAGGUGUAUCUGCAAAAAUAUUCCCCACCAUUGAUUCCGCCCAAGGGAGAAGUAAAUGCGGCCGACGCUUUUGAUAUUGGCUCAUUUGACGAAGAAGAUACUAAAGGAAUUAAGUUGACAGAGGCAGACCAGGACUUGUAUAAAAACUUCCCACUGGUUGUGUCUGAGCGUUGGCAACACGAAGUGGCAGAAACAGUAUUUGAAGCCAUUAACACAGACACAGAUAAAGUUGAACAGAAACGCAAACAGAAACCUAAAGGAGAUGAAGUAGAUCUGGCAGGGCCUACUGACUGUAUUGUGGAAGGUGAAGUUUUAAAACUGGGUGGGCCUUUCAAUCAGUCGUGGGCUAAGAAACAUCUAAAAUUAUACCCCAACAGACUUGAAUUUUACCAUAAAGCCAGAGAUGGGACUGUACCCAAAGGCAAAGCUGUAGAAUUAUACUCAAUGCUAGACAUAAAAGAAGUUGUUCCUGAAUUUCAAAAGUACCAAAAGAUGGAGAACUGUAUCGUCCUCAAUCUUAAGACAGACAAAAUAAUCAUCACUUCACCUGACAAGGUGUUAAUCAAUCAGUGGAAGGAUGAAAUUAUUCAGGGUUUUAACCUGUCAACACAGAUUGUAGCCACAAUGAACAAAAAAGCUAGCAAACUUUAUGGCUCAGAACUUCCAGGAUCACCAAGCACAGAGAGCCUUCGGAAUCCAUUGGAGCAUCGCAACAGCAAUGGCAAUGGCAGUAGUUAGCUCCGUAUUAGAGUUGUAUUUGUAUUGCAUUGAUUAUUCAUACUUACUGGUAUUUUUCAUCCUGUUCUUUUCACAUUGUUUUUUUUUUUUUAAAAAGAAUUACUGAAAUUAUUUUUCCCCCCUAAAAUUUUAAAGUUAAACUUUGUAUUCAUUUGUUGGAUAGUUAAUUAUGUGAUAGUUUAAAAAAAUUUGUAUUCAUAGUUUGAGUUGGAUGUUAAUUAGUCGAACUUAAGGUUUUUUGUUUUUUUUUCAAAAGAAUGGAAAUAAUUUUAAAUUCUUUAUGUAAAUGUCUCAAAUAGAGUGUGAAGACAUUGUAUGAUUAGAGUAACGUACUGCUAUUUAUAUCUUCCAUUGCAAUAUUUAACUGGCUUUUUAUUGCUCCUCUUUAGCGACUAAAUUAGGGUUUAGUUAAGAUCACAGAAUUAUCAGCUUAAGCUUAUUUGAAGAGUGAAAGGAUUUUAUUAUUAAAUGGGAAGGGAUUGAAGCAGAAAAUAAUUUUAUUUCAGUUUUUAAAAAUAUCAGUUCUACUGAGGAGGAAUGUAAAUUAGUAUAUGGAAUCUGCAUACAGUCUAGUAUAAUCUCCUUUUAUAACUGUCUGAAAAGUAUCAAAGUACAGCGAAAAGAUAACAUAUUUGAUUGAUGCUUGGUUUUUUUUAGUUUCCAUAAAAUGGGGCUUUUCAAAUGAAUGUAAAAUCAGAUUUUUAACACAGCUUAUGAAAUGUUUCUACAGGAAAGUCAAGCUGUUGCAACUGCUGCUGUCGUGGUCGUUGUUGCUGCUGUUGUGUCAUAUCAUAGUAUUGUGAAGCUUGGGGGAACAUUUUUUAUAAAAUUAUAUUUGUAAUCAUAUGAAGGGAUUAUUUUUUAAAAAGGUUUGUUUCAUGUGAUCUGUCCCUACAAUACUUUUACAUUUUCAAAAAAAUUUGGAUCUUCCAAAACAAUUUAGGCUAUUUUAAGCUGUAUUGAAUUUAUUUUACUUUUCAGAAAUAAGCAAAUUUUGAAAGUUCGUACACCAUCUGAAUUCCCCCUUGCUUUAAAUGAACGCUUUAAACUUUACACAAAAAACUCAAGCAAUGGCUCUGUAAAAUAUUGGUUUUGUCUUCAUAACUUUAAGUGGAUGAAAAAUAACCAGCUGCCCCAUGAGUUACUUACCUUUACCCAAUUUUGUUUACAAUGAUCACGUUAACCUUUUUGAAUGGGAGAAUAUACCAGCAGGAGCUCUUUUAUGCUGUCUAGAUGAAGAUCCUAAGGUAUAAUUAUUUUUCAUGUUCAACACUUUCCCUCUACAUUCGCUGCAGGCAGUGAUUUUUUAACCUACCAACCUUGGCCCAAAAUUAAAUGCAAUUUUAUGGAAUAUUGAAUUCACAGAAUUUUUGCAAAAAAAGUGUAUACAUUGAAAGAAUAAGUAAAUGUGUUGCUAUAGUUAGUUAUUUGAAGUAUUGUAUUAAAACAGAAACUUAUUUUUGUGUUCAAAGUAUGCUGUUUUUUUCCUGAUAAAAAAGAAAGGAAGGAAAUGCCCAAGUCUGUUGGUACUGUAUUCUAAACAAAGCCAAAAAAUAUAACCCCAUUACCAAAAAAAAAUAUGUUAUCAACAGUAAUCUUAAUUUAGUCUCAUUCUUUAUCACUUACCUUAUUGUGAUUAUCCCAUAUUGUACAGUAUUUUAAUACUUCUCAUAUCUUAGAUGUUCUUCUGUAUGGUGGUAAGCCCUGGCUUAGAUGGCAGUAUACCCUACUACAUAGUCCUAGCUUUUCACUACAACUUGUAUUUUUACAAUAAAACAAAAAAUUGUACAAGAUUCAUUGCAUUUAACGCAUUAAGUAUUUUAAAAAUAUAUUUACCAGUGGAUGUUAUUAUAAUUACCAGUGUAAAAGACAGUAACUAAACGUUUAGUAUAUUUACUGUUUUGAACCUCAAGAGUAUUUUUUUGUAUAAAACAAUAGCAAUUUCAAACAGAUAUCACAGAGUGUAUGAAUGUUUUUUUAAAGUUUCUUCCCUUUGCUGACCAUCAUACCAGGUUUUUUUUUUUUAAAAACUAUAUAAUAACUAGCAGCUUGUCUUAUAUACAUACCCCUUGCAACAGCCCCCUUCUACACUUUCUCUGUAGUUUAAUAUUGUAUUUAGUGUUGCAAAUUACAAAUACUGCUCUCUGCAUUGUUGGGGUGCAGUGUUGUUACGACUACCACUAUUUAUUUAUAUAAAUAUAUAUAUAUACAUAUUGUAAAAAUAACAUUACUAUUCACUUUUAUUAUUUUUCAUCACUGCUUGCACAUGUAUACAAAUGACUCUUUCUGUGGGCCUUCCAUUAGGAGCAUAGUUAAAUAUAAAUAUUAGUGUUCAACUUGGACAUGUGAUUAAGCACCAUGACAUGUCGUGUAUGAGCCACUUGCCGCCCAAGUCCCAGAUAAUAAACCAUCAGAUGUGAUUAUUUUUUUUCUCUCCCUCCCCUCUCCCUCAAAAAUCACUGUCAGCCCUGGAUAUCAUAUUUCUAUAUUGUUAUGUGUGUGUUAUAUGAAUGGGCUACUGUGUUAUUUCUAUAUUUUUAUGUGUGCUUGUCAUAUGAAUGGAUUACUGUGUUAGCCUGCACAUGUAAAAAAAAAAAUGUAUGAAUUCAGCAUGGGGUUGAAGGGGGACACCUGUUCUUGUGAAACUACAACAACUGUAUAAAGUAACUCUUUCAUUGUUAUUAUCCAAUUAAAAAUCAUGUUAAAAUAACAUGCUGUCUAAGUUGUAUGCGUUUUAUUUUUCAAAUCACCUCCCCCUCACUCUGUUGAGUGUGUUAGCACUCUGAUGUUCAUUUUCACACACAUUUCUAGAUGUGAUAUCUUGCAAAGUUUAAUGUUAACUUUUUUUUUUUUUUAUUAUUCAGCAGAUUUGAAAUUUCAUCUUGUCAUACAUGAAUACAAUUGAUGUUUGAUAAUUUUAACUUUAAUUUCAAAACUAAUUUAUUUGUUUGUCUAUUAAAUGCUCACUCCUUUAACUUGUGAUUAAUAAAUGCUAGGUUAAAUUGCCACAACUUUUGUUUUGAUAGUGUCUACUGUUAUGUGUAUUUUUAAAGUCAGAAACUCUGACCCUUAGUCUUUAUAUCUUUUUUUUUAAUUUAAAAAAAAACAAACCACCUUUUUGAAAUCAUUUUAAUAAUUAUUUGAUGAGUGUUAAAUUAUCUGUUUUUU